UGGAGCAGUAUGUGGUGGUAGCCAAC
rnacentral:piRNA from 1 species